rnacentral:lncRNA from 1 species
GGACCAUUCAGACUCUUCCAGAUCAGAAGAUGGAACAAAAGGAGGAGAAGAUGGUGUAGGAAGCAUAAAACAAGAUACUCUUGAUUUUUCUUCUCACAAAAAUCUAGAGCCGAAACCCUAGAACCCCAUCAUAGAACUCACACCCAAAGAGGAAGGAAUUUUUUUCUUUCUGUCGCACAAAAUGACCUGCCCCCUCUCUGUUUCACGCCCCCACUCUUUCAGAAACCUUUUCCACGAUAAAACUCUCCUCUUUGUCGCACAAAAAUUGAGAGGAUUUAAGGUAGGCGUGGAGAAGAGAUAGGAUAAGGAUAAGGUUGUUGAUUU